AUGCGGCUACUCAGCAUCUGGGUUGUGUGGGGAUCAUUUCUGACGGAUCUGAGUCACGGAGAUUCUGUCACUCAGCCGCUGUCCUUAGAUGUUAAGACAGAAGGAGAAGCGGUGACUCUAAGCUGUACCUAUGAUACUACACAAAACAGCUAUUCUUUAUUCUGGUACCGGCAACACCCAGACUCGCAACCCGCGUUUAUAUUGAGGAAGGAUUCAAACGGUUAUGAAGAUAAAGCUGAUUUUGCCAAAAGCCGUUUCUCAGUAGAUCUCCGGAUCUCUUAUAAAUUCACCAGUUUAACCAUCUCGGGUCUGCGGCUGACUGACGCUGCCGUGUAUUACUGCGCUCUCAGACUCACAGUGAUGGAAAGCAGUCUGACCCCUGUACAAAAACUGCCUUUAGACUGUGGAUUGGAGCUCCUUUGGGUUGGGGCUUGUGUAGAAUCUCGGGCAGGUGCAGCCACAAUGUUCAGCGGCGCUGUCAGACUCAAACACAACCCGAGAGGAAACGCAUUAACCUCGAUUCAAACCGUCACAAAAUUGUUUCUAGGAGCCGCCGACAAAACAAACUGCAGAAUCGAAUCAGACCGGUUCAGCACAAAAUCAUAA